AACAACUGGCUGAUUGUCUGAAAGAUCAUGACUACGAUGAGCUGCUGCAGACUGUGCAGACGGGCCUUCCAAAAAUUAAUACACCUCAUCAUGUUGUUAUUGUUGGAGCUGGCAUGGCUGGACUGACAGCUGCCAAGUUACUGCAACGCCGGACACACGGUAACGAUAUUGGAGGCUAGCGGCCGUGUUGGAGGACGGGUGGAGACCUACAGGAAUGAAGAAGAGGGCUGGUAUGCUGAACUGGGAGCCAUGAGGAUCCCAAGUUUUCACAAGAUCGUCCUCACGGUUGCUAAAGAUCUGGGGGUCCAACUUA